GAUCGAGCGGACGAGCAACCGUUUCGGCAUGCUGAUCAACCCGCGCGACCGCAUCCGCCGGCGAUCGCGGUCGGCGGCCUGUCGCUUCGCGUUUCGCCGGAUCGACGCAUACGUCGGGACGAUUCGUCGUCGAAGACGCUCUCGUAUCGCGUCGGUAUACGCUCGCUCGAGCGUGCCGGGUGCCGUCUGUUUACGCGGAACAUCGAAGGAGCGUCGAAUAACAUCGUAGAGGAGCCGCGAAGGACGCGCGCGCGGGCACGACCGGCUGUCUGUUGACAUAGAUGAUCCCGCUUGUUUACGAUACUAGCGCGCGUAACGCUCGUUGUGCCGCCAUGAUUGCUCCGGCGCACCACUUUUCGCGAUAUUUUUGCGCGAAACUCGUCGGAAGUACUUACCGAAGCGGGUCUACGGAUGUCUUAUUGUCGAUGCGUCGAUUGAUCGCGGUUGAAUGUGUUUUCCGAUAUCUGUGACGAAUAUUGAUUGCCACCGUAUACGACUAAUGUUUAUCGAAAGUUCCUCACAAGUGCAUCCGUCUCGUCCUACUUGAGCGUAAUUGUGCAUCGGGAGUGUCGAUUGACUCGGGUGAUUGAUACGGGUUUUAAUGUAUUAAUCAGUGGCGGAUAUUGACAUUUAGAGGCCCCUAAACGCAACUUCAUUCGAAGACCCUUGAGAUACCGAGAGGCUCGAGACAUGCGUUUGUUAUGAUAGAAAAUUUACCAUUGGACAUUAUUAUAUAAAGUUAUUCUUAUCAUUAUUAUGCCACAUUCGAGUUAAUGCUUAAUGAGUUUUGUCACAUUCCGUCCAGUAGUAGAUACGGGCACUAGCGAAUUUUGACCCCUGGACAAUAAUUGGAUUUGGAGAUCCCUAUCGAGGCCCCUAGGCCCGCGCGCCUGCUGCACCUAAUGGAAAGUCCGCCACUGGUGUUGAUUAGCGACGCGAAUGUACUUUUCGGUGUCGGUGAUAGAUAUCGAUCGCGUUCCGUGGGAUCCGCGUCCGUCGGAAGAACUCGUUUACUAAUAUGCGCGUGUCGUGUUAUUUCGCGAGUGUGAUUGAGUGCGUCGCAAGUGCAUCGAGGAGCAUCGAGGGGCAUCGAGGGACACCGUUGGCCGUAAUGGACCAUUGAGACGGGGGACUGCUGCUCGUCUACGAAGACGUCUUCACGUUCUCGCCGAACAAUUCGCCGGUUGCUGGAAUUCAUGCGAGACUGGGUUCCGUUUCAACAACUGCAAUUUCGGCGCCAUUCGAUCGUCGCGCGUUCGUCAUCGCUCCGCA